rnacentral:lncRNA from 1 species
CUGAGGUUUUCUUAAAAACAUAGAGAAAGAAUUAACACCAGAUCCUGGAGCCAUGGGCAGGCUGCAGAGAUGAGCUGCUCCUUCCUCCAGGGAUGGCCCCAAGAAGAGCCUCCUUAGAGCUGUGCCUCUUGCUCGGCUGGACCCACUGCAUCUCAUGCACUCUCAGCCCUGUCCCAGCAGCCUGGUGGAGGAAGCGGAGCCUGAUGGUCCUGCGGCUGCCCCAAUGUCCACCCUCCUGCCUGCAUGCCUGGGAUGCUGCGUCUCCUCCUGCUUGUGCAGACUGGGAGAAGCUCUGCCAACUCAGGGUGGAGACUUGAACUGAGUGCAAAAAAUCACAUUGGAGCCCUUCCUACCACGCUUUCUCCCUGACCUGUCCAUAAUCAACCUGAGGCUGCUUAGAUCAAAUGGAUUCCCAGCUCUUCAGCACCACACAGGUUUAGUCAGGACUAAAACUGCUUAUUGUUUGCUUUCUGUUCCUGCUAACAGCAAGGCUCUGGGGAGCAUCUGUUCUGACAGAGGGGGGUUUGGUCUCUGCUCUCUUGCUUGCUUCAAAAGCACCAUUCCCUGAAGCUGAACCAAGCACAGGGAUACCUCUCUGCAAGUGACUGAAAAGCAGGACUGAAAAUGGAAGGGAGAGCAAACAAGAUCUGAAACUUGGGGCGGACAUAAUUAGCCAGCUGAUGAAUGAAAGCAAGUGCUUGUGGUGAAUGGAGGCCUCUGGCUUCCUGGCAUGAGUAUAUUGCUAGAGCUGGGGAGCGCUGUUCUGGGCAAAGCAGGGAUGAGCACUAGGGACUGGGUGCUCACUGGGAAAGGUGUUCCAGUCCUGCUUGUCUGGCAAGGAGCAGAGUGACCACAUCUUGUCUGUGGUCUGCAUCUCCUUGUGCAUGGAGGAUCAGUUUUUCAAGCUGCAAGAGCCUUAUUUAGCAUACUACUGCAUUUCAGUUCAAACCACAGCCAGUGUGUGCUACUUAAUAUGGAUUCUUGUUCUUCUUUAGCCUUCCAGACUGCAGAGAUGCAGUGUUCUUGAUAGGAAGAAGUUGGUUUCACAUAAAUAGUACAGCAGUCAUAGCAACCACCUGAUUAAGGCAGUGAUAAAGAUGGAUAGACUGGGUCAGGAUCAGGCUAAUUAAAAUCAGCCUGACCCUGAACCUUAUUUUUAAGGCUCCGCAACAGAGUUGCAUGCUCUAAACAGUGAGCCUGAUGUUGAUGUUCUCCUGGGAAGAGCUGAGGUUGUAGCCCACACAGGUACUCAGCAGAAAAAUCUUGCUCUACCACUCCCUGUUCUGUGGGGCCAUUUAGCUCCAUUUGCUUCUUUUUGAUCCUUGCUAACAACUUUUCUCCUGAUAGAAGAUCACCCAUGUGUUAUUUUUACCUUGUAAUGUCCUUUAAAUGCAAAUAAAGACUCUAACUG